GAUGAACGCUGGCGGCGUGCCUAAUACAUGCAAGUCGAGCGAACGGACGAGAAGCUUGCUUCUCUGAUGUUAGCGGCGGACGGGUGAGUAACACGUGGAUAACCUACCUAUAAGACUGGGAUAACUUCGGGAAACCGGAGCUAAUACCGGAUAAUAUUUUGAACCGCAUGGUUCAAAAGUGAAAGACGGUCUUGCUGUCACUUAUAGAUGGAUCCGCGCUGCAUUAGCUAGUUGGUAAGGUAACGGCUUACCAAGGCAACGAUGCAUAGCCGACCUGAGAGGGUGAUCGGCCACACGGGAACUGGACCACGGUCCAGACUCCUACGGGAGGCAGCAGUAGGGAAUCUUCCGCAAUGGGCGAAAGCCUGACGGAGCAACGCCGCGUGAGUGAUGAAGGUCUUCGGAUCGUAAAACUCUGUUAUUAGGGAAGAACAUAUGUGUAAGUAACUGUGCACAUCUUGGCGGUACCUAAUCAGAAAGCCACGGCUAACUACGUG
rnacentral:rRNA from 1 species